rnacentral:rRNA from 1 species
UUGCCAGCCCGCUCAGAAACUUAAAGGAAGUUGACGGGGGCCCGCACAAGCGGUGGAGCAUGUGGUUUAAUUCGAUGAUACGCGAGGAACCUUACCUGGGCUCAAAUGUAUGUUGACGUAUUCUGAAAGGGAUACUUCUUCGGACAAUAUACAAGGUGCUGCAUGGUUGUCGUCAGCUCGUGCCGUGAGGUGUCGGGUUAAGUCCCAUAACGAGCGCAACCCCUAUCAUUAGUUGCCAUCAGGUCAAGCUGGGGACUCUAAUGAAACUGCCUACGCAAGUAGUGAGGAAGGUGGGGAUGACGUCAAAUCAGCACGGCCCUUACGUCCAGGGCUACACACGUGCUACAAUGGCCGGUACAAAGGGCAGCUACCUGGUGACAGGAUGCAAAUCUCCAAAGUCGGUCUCAGUUCGGAUCGGAGUCGGCAACCCGACUCCGUGAAGUUGGAUUCGCUAGUAAUCGCGCAUCAGCCAUGGCGCGGUGAAUACGUUCCCGGGCCUU